rnacentral:snRNA from 1 species
CGCUCAUGUUUCUCUUCAGAUCGUAUAAAUCUUUCGCCUUUUACUAAAGAUUUCCGUGGGGAGGAACAUCAUGAGUUUUACCUAAUUUUUUGUCGCCCUGCCUGACGGUGGGGCU